GGAUGUGAGGGCAAUCUGGCUGCGACAUCUGUCACCCCAUUGAUCGCCAGGGUUGAUUUGGCUGAUCUGGCUGGCUAGGCGGGUGUCCCUUUCCUCCCUCACCGCUCCAUGUGCGUCCCUCCCGAAGCUGCGCGCUCGGUCGAAGAGGACGACCAUCCCCUCUAGAGGAGGGCCGGUCUUCGGUCAAGGGUAUAAGAGUAGCUGCGCUCCCCUGCUAGAACCUCCAAACAAGCUCUCAAGGAAAAGUAGAGAGAGAGAACUAUCUUCCCAUCUUUUGGUUCAUUCCUCAGAUGCUCGCAAGAG
rnacentral:snRNA from 1 species